CUACUCCAUGUAUUGUGAGCUAAUAUAUCAAUUAGUAUUUUCCUUUAUUCUACCAGGUUCCUGCGUGGCUGCCUCCCAGCCAAAUCCGGCUGCCACCAACCACCACGCGCUCGCCUCAGCCUCAUCCUCUUCCUCCCUAAUGACCAGUUGGAUGCUAGGCAGCAGAGCGGUGGCGAUUCGCCUCUGUUAGUGUGCUGGGUCAAUGCUUCUUUUGUCCUGUUCGCUCGGUCAUAGAACAAACCCUAUCCUGCCUUGACUGAUUUCCUUCUAUGCUCGGCUGUUUGAUGCGUUCGUGCUCGUCGGCGGGAUGGUGCAAGGCGCAACUCCGACGCGGUUCCUCGCCGGUUGGACGGUGUUCAGGCGCAACCCCGGCGCGCACUGAGUACUGCCUCGGCUAUAGCCUCCCUCGCUGAGGUCCAUCUUCCUCCCGCUCCUCUGCUUCGGCUACUGUAUGGGACAUGGCCAUGGCUAUAUUGAUGUGGUGCUCGUCUGGUUGAUGCUCUAUGCCCUACCCAUGCCAUUUUAGGGUUUGCAGGCUGCUGUUCAUGUUUAGUUGCUAUCAUAGGAGCUAAUGUGAUGCUCUGGUUUACAUGUGGAUGCCCUGGUCCUAUAGCUAUGCUCCUGGAUUUGCUAGAUUGAUCAGUGGCAUUCGUGCUAGGGCGAUGAUGAUUAAUCGUGGCUGAAAUAAGUGUGCCUUUGAGCAAUCGUGGCACCUGUGCGUAUCAGGUUGGAUCCUCCCUCUUGUCUCUAGAAUCCUUUUUGAUCAUGUGAUGCUUGUUGUUGUCCUUGGAUGGUCAUUCUUGUUGAGUGAUAACCAGGGCAGCUCCACUGUAUGAACAGAUUGAUCUGGUGAUAAGAGAUGAUGGGGGUAGGUUA